rnacentral:rRNA from 1 species
CUAAUACCGCAUACGUCCUACGGGAGAAAGAGGGCCUCUGCUUGCAAGCUCUCACUCCAGGAUGAGCCCACGUCCGAUUAGCUAGUUGGUAGGGUAAAGGCCUACCAAGGCCACGGAUCGGUAGCUGGUCUGAGAGGAUGAUCAGCCACACUGGGACUGAGACACGGCCCAGACUCCUACGGGAGGCAGCAGUGGGGAAUAUUGGACAAUGGGCGCAAGCCUGAUCCAGCAAUGCCGCGUGUGUGAAGAAGGCUGCGGGUUGUAAAGCACUUUCAGUGGGGAAGAACAGGUUCGGGUCAAUACCCCGGAGCCCUGACGUUACCCACAGAAGAAGCACCGGCUAACUCCGUG